UUUUGCCCCCACCAUCACCUCCUUUCUUCUUCCUUCCCCCUCCCCUCCUUCGUCAUAACCAGAUAAGUUUCUCUACCAAUUCACUUUCCCUCUCUACCAACUUUCUCUCUCUAAAUCCCUAUUUUCUGUCCAAUCACAGCUCGCCAUCUGUAAACCGAUUUUCUCUGAAACUUUACAAUUAUCCAAUUACCUCGAAUUUAGCGACUUUUCGCCCGAAUUUUCAAAUAUAUCUAGGGUUUUUUUUGAUUUUUUUGAGGUUUAUCUAAAAUUGAAAUUCAAUCAAUUCCAAUUUUGGAUCAUUCUUUGUUCAAGAAAAUGAUGAGAAGACAAGAUCAUCAGCAUACUAAUCACAAUCAACAAUCUAGGGUUUUAUACGAGUUAUCUUCUUUAGUACUCAACAUCUUGCGCCACCCUCCAUCGCCGUCGUCGCUCAAUUUCUCUGAUCAUCAUCUCUAUCCUCCGUCGUCUUCAUCGUCGGCGGCGGCGGUUAGGCUUCCGCCGCAGAUAACGCCGGCGGGUUUCGCGUCGUUGAUGUUGGGAAUUUCCCUGGCUUUAAUGCUUUGUGGAUCGGUGACGUUCUUCAUAGGGUUCAUGUUGUUGCCUUGGGUUAUUGGGCUUGUUAUGGUGUUCUAUUUUGUCGGCCUUGUUACCAGUAUUUCGGUUUUGGGUCGGGCUUUUCUCUGUUACGCCAUCUCUGCUCCGCCUUCAUCGUCACCUUCUUCGCCUCGGAAAGAUUUUCCUGGUUGAAGCCCCCCUACCAUCCGUUCAAUAAUGCCCUCAUUCAGAUUUAGGAGGAUCUUUCUAGCAAGGAAUUAAACUCAUGACCUUCCUUUCUGCAUGGAAGUUCUUGUAAAGAUGGUUAGGAUAACAAGAGGCACUAUUGCAACAGUAGAGAAGGCGGACACUCGUAUUCCUUGGCUGCUCCGCUUUUGAUAUUCAGGGGAAUUGAUGUGGGCCGAAAGGCUAUUGGAAUUCGGACUGUGGGUAACUGGCUUUUUAAGAUUGUUACUAAAACUUGUGGAUAUGGCUUGGCUUCUUCAUCCGGGGUUGAAGAAUAUGGGGAUACUUUUCUUUUUAGGUUAUGAGAGUUGCUUAAUACAGUGGAUAUUAUAGAAAUGUCAAGAAUAUGAAGUUUCUUUUGUGUUGAAACUGUUAAUUUUUCAUAUCAUGGGCCAUGUUGCUCUCUUUAUGAUGAUCCCAAAUGUGUAAAUUUAAAGCCAUGGGGCAUUAUUAUCUGUAUUUAGGUUCUGGAUCUUAUUUUCCGAUAUUAUUAAGAAAAUUGAGGGGAGAACAUGUUUCAUGAAUACAAGAAUAUAAUGAAUGAAGGCAGGUUUACUAAA